AUUUAAUCAAUUCAUAAUGUCUUCCCUUAUCCUAUUUAGUGUUUUUAACUUUCUAUUUCACAUUGCCUGCUAUUAAUAUUGCCUCUCUUGAUGUCUUUCUGUGUAUGUCCAUUGUUUUAUUUGGUCUGAUUUUGCUUUUUUGGUCCUUCUUUUGUUUUCAAACCUCUUUUAUUACUGUAUUUUAAGUAUGUAUUUUGCAAAGUGCGAAAUAUGCUCUUUUUUUAACUGAAUGUGACAGUCUUUUUUAAUAAGAGAACUUCAGUCCAAUUACAUUUUGUGUAAUGCCUGAUAUGCUUGACUUUAUCUUUUGCAUCUUAUUUGUUACUUAUUCGUCUUACCAUGUUGUUUCCCCUUUUAGCUCUUUCUUCUGCUUGCCUGUCUGAUCAAGUCUCAUUCAUCUCCUUUUGCCUUUGUUUUUCUGCAGGUUCCAUUGGGAGUGUUUUUUCUUUUCAUAAAUGGUUACCUUCCCUUCCCUUGCUCUCAUAAUCAGAUAGUAUUACUGGACUAUCAUAUGAAAGCAAGAUAUUAAUUAUUUUCCUUACCAAGAUCCUAGAUUUCCCCCUUUUCCUCCUCCAUUUGAUAAGACUUUUAGAGAACUUUCGUUUUCUUCCUUGUUCAACAUUCUUUCUUUCCUAUCCUCCAGUUCUACUCCCCUCUUCCUCUUUUUCCAUCUUGAGAUUUCUAUUCUGGUCUAUGUCUUGUUUGGCUACAGCCUUUUCUUGUGGGUUUCCCUCUGAAGAAGUACACAAGUAGUAAACUCUUUGUUGUAUAUCUCCACUCUUUCUUUCAUGCUGUCGGGUGAGUGAUAUCUUGUGUUGAAGUCAUUGGUAGUGGUCCUAUUCUGAGGGUAAUCUAUAGAUGCUAGUUCAUUCUUGUUUCCAGUUUCCAUUGUUGCAAAUAAGCCUAAUGCAACUCUGAUACUUUUUCCUUUGUAGAUAAUUUGUUCAUAACUGCUUGGAAACUUGUGAGGUUUUUUUCUUAUAUCCUUAGCAUUCAGGAAUUUUAUCAGACUUAGGUCUUAAACUAGGGAAAUUUUUUUCUGAUGAUUUUUAAUUAUUGCCUUACCUCCAUUUGUUCUUUCUUCUCCCUUUGAAAUUCCCUUGGAUCUGAUUUCCAUUUCCUUUUGAGGUUCACUUUGUUUUGGCUUGUGCUUUGAGAUAUUUCUUAGCACUUAAUUUUUCAGACCACUGAUUCAGAUUUCAAUAGAGACUAUCCUCUCCUUCAGUUCUUCUCCUGAAUUUUUUAUUUUGGAAACUGUGUUUUCAAUUCCAGAAAGAAUUUUUUAUCAUGGUCUUGACUCUUAAUUCAAGAUGUCACUCUUGCCUCCAGCAGCACUCCAUCAGUGGGAUGUUUGUUCUGAUGACUGCUCUUCUCUCAGCUAUUGGAUGGGUUCUUUUUCUAUAUGAACUCGUUGGAGCUCAGAUUCUAAAUGACGGGAAUCUCAUAGACCAUGACUCUCUCUGCCUACGGGGGCCUGUAAUUUACAGCAGGAAGCUGCCAGACCCUGCUGCUGGUCUUGAAGGAAACUCCCCUGCUCUCAAGUUUCCUGGUACUCCCACAGUCUGAGAAACAGGGAGAUCCAGUCUUCCUGCACAGCUCUUUCUUGGCCUUGUAAGGGCAGGAAGAUCUGAGCCAACAUCGUCUUAUGUCUGGAGAUCACAGAUCUCUGACCUCCCAGCAUUUCCCAACAAACGCUGCUUUUAGUCCUCACUAGCUCCCUGAUGAUGGUUUUUCCCACUCCAUGAGGGGAAAAGCAGUGGACUAUUUCUCUCUGCUAGAACGCCAACAGACCCUGAGUCCCUCACGUCUAUUCAACUACCCAUGGAAGCCAGCAGUCAUUAGGCUGUUGAGAGGCAGGUAGCCUAGAGCUGAGGAUGAAGAGAAAGGGAGCUGUUGUCAUGUCAACAUGUGACCAGAAUCUCCUUUAGGCUAACUGUGUUCUAUAACUCAAAUUAACUUUUAUUUAAGUCUCUCACUCCAUCAGGUAGUAAAGAUUUAAUCUCAGUCCAUUCAAGAUCUUCCCUCAUUUUUCCUGGAACCAGAUCAUGGUUCUAGAGUACUUACUUAGUGCUGAGAUGUUGGGACAAGAGAAGUAGGCAUCUGAUCUGAGUCAUCUAUCCGUUUUGCAGGCUCCAUCUGCAUAGAGUCAGACUGUCUGUGUUAGCUAUUAUUACAUGUUCUAACACCUAUAUUCAUGUUAUAAAAAUGCUACAUAAAAGACAAUGAGGCUAGGGUUCCUGGCUGAGCCCAGGUAGUCCGUGCUUUGAAGCUCAGUUAGGGCUUGUCUGCCAAAAUGACAAUAACAUCUGCCGAGAAUAUAUCUGAAUUAGGGACUGAGGAGUUCCCUGGUGAAAAAGGAUUCAUCCUAAGGCAAAGCAAAGUCAGGCACACAAGUCUAUUUCAGUAACCAUGUGUCAGAAUUUGAGCACAGCUUGAUAUCUUUUGCUCACAUUGUACUCCAGCUUCAAGUCCCAGGUUCUCAGGUUCAAGUCCCAGGAAGGUGAGAGGUCAAGAAAAACUAAAACUUGUUUUACUGGGAACUCAGUAGAACACUGACAGUACAAAACAGUAAUAUUUGGGACUUGCACGGCAAAGAUGGGUGAGAGUCUUUUUGUUUAAUUUGGGGGUUGAUGCUGCUUGUUUGUGUUCCUAAUUUCAGCUGGGUCCACUUUGAGGACAGUAACUUAUCAAAGGUAUCAGCAAAACCGGCAAACUGGGGAGAAACAGCACCAAAGACAGCAACAGACUCUGAUAUUUUGGGAGCUCAAGCAGAGGGGAAGGAAAAUGGCAAAUGCUCUAUGACAUCCUAAGUUCUCAAGCAACUCUCCACCAGCCCCAUUUCUCUCCCUGAAAGAACUGAGGAACACACUGAGUGGAACUCAAGUUACCUCAUGAGAGAGCUGAGAUCACAAGGCAGCUGAGUAACCUGAAUUCCAAUGGGAAACAAGCUCCUUAAAGGAGAGGUGGAGAACAUGAACCUUUUGACCUGUGCGAGAUUAGUGGAAAAACUGGUGGCCACCAUACAAACAGGCUUCCAGAGGAUCCUCACAAAAAGACUGGAGACAGGGCAAGAGAUGUGAGAGAGCCACCUCACUAAUGCAGAAACCACAAUAAAGGUUCUUGCCCACAUUUUCCCCUCUUCCUUGGCCUCCUGACGUACCGUGUGUUCCCUUUGUGGCCCUGCGGAGUGUGCUGUGUCUUCUCUCUCUAGGGAUCUACUUUAGCAAGCUGAUUAUAAAUUGGAUGGAAAAGUAAAAGAUCAAGAAGCAAAUAGGAGAACACCUGCUGCCAAUAAUCGAGAAUUUCAAUAAAGUUAUAAGAAUUCAAGUGCAGACGUAUGGGACCAAAUGGAAAACUCAGA
rnacentral:lncRNA from 1 species